CUAUUCUAAUAGCAUUUUACUCGUAUAAUCGCAGGAAUAAGGCCUGCAAGUUUCUACCGGCUUACCGUAAAUAAGCUGACUAUGAGUGGAAAAUGAAAUAAG
rnacentral:ncRNA from 2 species